rnacentral:rRNA from 1 species
UACGGAGGGAGCUAGCGUUGUUCGGAAUUACUGGGCGUAAAGCGCGCGUAGGCGGUUUUGCAAGCCAGAGGUGAAAUGCCUGAGCUCAACUUAGGAAUUGCCUUUGGGACUGCAAGGCUUUGAGGACUGGAGAGGUGAGUGGAAUUCCCAGUGUAGAGGUGAAAUUCGUAGAUAUUGGGAAGAACACCGGUGGCGAAGGCGGCUCACUGGCCAGUUUCUGACGCUGCAGCGCGAAAGCGUGGGGAUCAAACAGG